rnacentral:lncRNA from 1 species
GCAUUUGGCGCAGCGGUUAAGGAUUGAUUGGGGGCGAGCCGUAAACCCGGACGUCCUUAGUUCGAACCCCGCUAGCAACAAGUGUUAAGCCAGAAAUGGUCAUGGUGGCCACGGUACCCCCGGUGCAAGUCGGGUAGCAAACCGCUCUGGUAUCGGGCUCGAGGGAUUAGUCGACCACGGUUAACAAAAAAAAAAAGAAAAAGAAAAAGAAAACAUUGCUGUAGAGAUGCAAGCAUGGAUCCAUCUUAUGAAGAUAUGAGGAAAGUGCAGUUGGUGAAGGGAAGAGAAAAGAAAAUCCCAACUUACAGUGGCAAAUGCCUUCCUAAGGUCAAUUUUAAGGGCACAUCGAGGAGGCCUAGAGGACCUAUGGUAGAUCCUGAAAAGUUCUUAAGCAAGAAGAAUAUUAUCACUAAUGUUCUGCCCUUUGAUGAACCAGUCUAGGUGUGCCAUGAAAAUUGAUUUGCGCAAGGC